AGGCUUAACACAUGCAAGUCGAACGGUAACAUAGAGAAGCUUGCUUCUUUGAUGACGAGUGGCGGACGGGUGAGUAAUGCUUGGGAAUCUGGCUUAUGGAGGGGGAUAACUACGGGAAACUGUAGCUAAUACCGCGUAAUAUCGAAAGAUUAAAGUGUGGGACCUUCGGGCCACAUGCCAUAGGAUGAGCCCAAGUGGGAUUAGGUAGUUGGUGAGGUAAAGGCUCACCAAGCCGACGAUCUCUAGCUGGUCUGAGAGGAUGACCAGCCACACUGGGACUGAGACACGGCCCAGACUCCUACGGGAGGCAGCAGUGGGGAAUAUUGCGCAAUGGGGGCAACCCUGACGCAGCCAUGCCGCGUGAAUGAAGAAGGCCUUCGGGUUGUAAAGUUCUUUCGGUAGCGAGGAAGGUGGUUAGUUUAAUAGGCUAGCCAAUUGACGU
rnacentral:rRNA from 1 species